rnacentral:rRNA from 1 species
AGAACGAACGCUGGCGGCAUGCCUAACACAUGCAAGUCGAACGAGACCUUCGGGUCUAGUGGCGCACGGGUGCGUAACGCGUGGGAAUCUGCCCUUGGGUUCGGGAUAACAGUUGGAAACGACUGCUAAUACCGAAUGAUAUCUUCGGAUCAAAGAUUUAUCGCCCAGGGAUGAGCCCGCGUAGGAUUAGCUUGUUGGUGAGGUAAGAGCUCACCAAGGCGACGAUCCUUAGCUGGUCUGAGAGGAUGAUCAGCCACACUGGGACUGAGACACGGCCCAGACUCCUACGGGAGGCAGCAGUGGGGAAUAUUGGACAAGUGGGCGAAAGCCUGAUCCAGCAAUGCCGCGUGAGUGAUGAAGGCCUUAGGGU